AGAAUGAACGCUGGCGGCAUGCCUAACACAUGCAAGUCGAACGAGACCUUCGGGUCUAGUGGCGCACGGGUGCGUAACGCGUGGGAAUCUGCCCUUAGGUACGGAAUAACUCAGGGAAACUUGUGCUAAUACCGUAUGAUGUCGAGAGACCAAAGAUUUAUCGCCUAGGGAUGAGCCCGCGUAGGAUUAGCUAGUUGGUGGGGUAAAGGCCUACCAAGGCUACGAUCCUUAGCUGGUCUGAGAGGAUGAUCAGCCACACUGGGACUGAGACACGGCCCAGACUCCUACGGGAGGCAGCAUGGGGAAUAUUGGACAAUGGGCGAAAGCCUGAUCCAGCAAUGCCGCGUGAGUGAAGAAGGCCUUGGGUUGUAAAGCUCUUUUACCCGGGAAGAUAAUGACUGUACCGGGAGAAUAAGCUCCGGCUAACUCCGUGCCAGCAGCCGC
rnacentral:rRNA from 1 species